rnacentral:rRNA from 1 species
AACGAACGCUGGCGGCAUGCCUAACACAUGCAAGUCGAACGAGACCUUCGGGUCUAGUGGCGCACGGGUGCGUAACGCGUGGGAAUCUGCCCUUUGGUUCGGAAUAACUCAGGGAAACUUGAGCUAAUACCGGAUAAUGACUUCGGUCCAAAGAUUUAUCGCCUAAGGAUGAGCCCGCGUAAGAUUAGCUAGUUGGUGGGGUAAAGGCCUACCAAGGCUACGAUCUUUAGCUGGUCUGAGAGGAUGAUCAGCCACACUGGGACUGAGACACGGCCCAGACUCCUACGGGAGGCAGCAGUGGGGAAUAUUGGACAAUGGGCGAAAGCCUGAUCCAGCAAUGCCGCGUGAGUGAUGAAGGCCUUAGGGUUGUAAAGCUCUUUUACCCGGGAUGAUAAUGACAGUACCGGGAGAAUAAGCUCCGGCUAACUCCGUGCCAGCCGCCGCAGUAAUAC